rnacentral:rRNA from 1 species
CGUAGGGUGCAAGCGUUGUCCGGAAUUAUUGGGCGUAAAGAGCUCGUAGGCGGUCUGUCGCGUCUGCUGUGAAAACUCAGGGCUUAACCCUGAGCUUGCAGUGGGUACGGGCAGACUAGAGUGCGGUAGGGGAGACUGGAAUUCCUGGUGUAGCGGUGAAAUGCGCAGAUAUCAGGAGGAACACCGGUGGCGAAGGCGGGUCUCUGGGCCGUAACUGACGCUGAGGAGCGAAAGCAUGGGGAGCGAAUGGG